CACGUAGGGGGCGAGCGUUGUCCGGAUUUAUUGGGCGUAAAGGGCUCGUAGGCGGCUCAGUAAGUCGGGUGUGAAACCUCCAGGCUCAACCUGGAGACGCCACCUGAUACUGCUGUGGCUAGAGUCCGGUAGGGGAGCAUGGAAUUCCUGGUGUAGCGGUGAAAUGCGCAGAUAUCAGGAGGAACACCAGUGGCGAAGGCGGUGCUCUGGGCCGGAACUGACGCUGAUGAGCGAAAGCGUGGGGAGCAAACAGG
rnacentral:rRNA from 1 species